UACAGAGGUCUCAAGCGUUGUUCGGAAUCACUGGGCCUAAAGGGCGCGUAGGCGGCUUAUCAAGUCAGGGGUGAAAUCCGGCAGCUUAACUGUCGAAGUGCCCUUGAUACUGACGAGCUCGAGGGAGAUAGGGGUGUGUGGAACUUCCGGUGGAGCGGUGAAAUGCGUUGAUAUCGGAAGGAACGCCGGUGGCGAAAGCGACACACUGGAUCUCUUCUGACGCUGAGGCGCGAAAGCCAGGGGAGCAAACGGG
rnacentral:rRNA from 1 species